rnacentral:misc_RNA from 1 species
AAGUCGUAACAAGGUUUCCGUAGGUGAACCUGCGGAAGGAUCAUUAACACGUAUCCACGUAUCCACCCCUCGUGCACUGUUUUCACUCUCCCUAGGGAGACUCGACAGGAGUUGGAAGGGAAUUCGAGCGUUUGAAUGAGAAAAGCCCUUAAAAGCUAUUCGGCUCAAAUUCCCCUAUCUGCUGAGCAAUCAGCUUACAACUGUAGUCGACUCUUCUAGGCCUUUAUUCUUCUUAUUGGAAGCGCUCUCCAUUCAAGAUCGCCCCUCUAAGAUGUUUAAACACACCUUUCACCCCCUUUUUGCUAGUUGACUUUUUAUAUGUUGUUACACUAGAUUCAUUUCUAUUGUCUCACACGUUUAAUUACUUGAACGUUAAAAAAACAACUCUUAGCAAUGGAUAUCUUGGUUCUC